ACUGGAGUCUGCAACCCGACUCCACGAAGCUGGAUUCGCUAGUAAUCGCGCAUCAGCCACGGCGCGGUGAAUACGUUCCCGGGCCUUGUACACACCGCCCGUCAAGCCAUGGGAGCCGGGGGUACCUGAAGUGCGUAACCGCGAGGAGCGCCCUAGGGUAAAACUGGUGACUGGGGCUAAGUCGUAACAAGGUAUC
rnacentral:rRNA from 1 species